UACGUAGGGAGCAAGCGUUGUUCGGAUUUACUGGGCGUAAAGGGCGCGUAGGCGGCAAUUCAAGUCAUCUGUGAAAUCUCCGGGCUUAACUCGGAACUGUCAGAUGAUACUGCUUUGCUAGAGUGCAGAAGGGGCAAUCGGAAUUCUUGGUGUAGCGGUGAAAUGCGUAGAUACCACCAAGAACCCCGAUUGCGUAGGCAGCUCGCUGAGCCGAAACUGACGCUGAGGCACGAAAGCGUGGGGAGCGAACAGG
rnacentral:rRNA from 1 species